UUUGAGCUGAAGAGUCCCGAAUAGGACGAAACGUGCGUCCUGGAU
rnacentral:hammerhead_ribozyme from 1 species